rnacentral:rRNA from 1 species
CCUACGGGAGGCAGCAGUGGGGAAUUUUGGACAAUGGGCGCAAGCCUGAUCCAGCAAUGCCGCGUGCAGGAUGAAGGCCUUCGGGUUGUAAACUGCUUUUGUACGGAGCGAAACGGUCUGCUUUAAUACAGUGGGCUAAUGACGGUACCGUAAGAAUAAGCACCGGCUAACUACGUGCCAGCAGCCGCGGUAAUACGUAGGGUGCGAGCGUUAAUCGGAAUUACUGGGCGUAAAGCGUGCGCAGGCGGUUAUAUAAGACAGAUGUGAAAUCCCCGGGCUCAACCUGGGACCUGCAUUUGUGACUGUAUAGCUAGAGUACGGUAGAGGGGGAUGGAAUUCCGCGUGUAGCAGUGAAAUGCGUAGAUAUGCGGAGGAACACCGAUGGCGAAGGCAAUCCCCUGGACCUGUACUGACGCUCAUGCACGAAAGCGUGGGGAGCAAACAGGAUUAGAUACCCUGGUAGUCCACGCCCUAAACGAUGUCAACUGGUUGUUGGGUCUUCACUGACUCAGUAACGAAGCUAACGCGUGAAGUUGACCGCCUGGGGGAGGACGGCCGCGAGGUAGAACGUACGAAAGAAAGUUAGACGGCGUGAGACGUAGACCGACGGACGACGACGAGGGGAGGAGGG